GGGGGCGUAAAGGUUUCGACGGGGGUCAUGAAUCGGGUUAAGCAUGCGGAGUUCUCCUAAACUCCUUAAUAAUGGGUAAUUUAAAUUUAAACGCAGAUUCUGAAGAAUAUGCAUUAGCUGCCUGAGUGCAGCUCGUCCUGCCGAUGAGUGCUGCGGCUUCGGUUUGGGCGUGACACAGCAGCCAACGUUCCGGAUGAGCGCUCUGUAGUCCGUCACGUUUUUUAAAGAGCUGCCAAAGGUCUUUCCUGUCGAUCGGACAGACCUGCGGGAGAUCUGAAGAUCGACUAAGCAUGUAGAAAGAUCCGUGGAUCGGCUUUCGGACGGGGGUCCGACUCCCCCCGCCUCCACCA
rnacentral:tmRNA from 1 species